rnacentral:rRNA from 10 species
ACUCUCAGCAACGGAUAUCUUGGCUCUUGCAACGAUGAAGAACGCAGCGAAAUGCGAUACGUAGUGUGAAUUGCAGAAUUCCGCGAAUCAUCGAGUUUUUGAACGCAAGUUGCGCCCGAGGCUUGUCCGAGGGCAUUUCCGCUAGAGCGUCA